CAGUCGCCGCGGUAACACGAAGGGGGCUAGCGUUGUUCGGAUUUACCGGGCGUAAAGCGCACGUAGGCGGACUUUUAAGUCAGGGGUGAAAUCCCGGGGCUCAACCCCGGAACUGCCUUUGAUACUGGAAGUCUUGAGUAUGGUAGAGGUGAGUGGAAUUCCGAGUGUAGAGGUGAAAUUUGUAGAUAUUCGGAGGAACACCAGUGGCGAAGGCGGCUCACUGGACCAUUACUGACGCUGAGGUGCGAAAGCGUGGGGAGCAAACAGGAUUAGAUACCCCGGUAGUCCUGUCUCUUAUACA
rnacentral:rRNA from 1 species